ACUGGGCUCGGUGGCGUGUGCCUGUAGUCCCAGCUACUCGGGAGGCUGAGGCGGGAGAAUCGCCUGAGCCCCGGAGUUCUGGGGUGCAGCGUGCUAUGCCGAUCGGGUGUCAGCACUAAGUUCGGCAUCAAUAUGGUUACCUCCAGAAGCGGGGGACCACCAGCUUGCCUAAGGAGGGGUGAACGAACCCAGGUCAGAAACAGAGCAGGUUAAAACUCCCAUGCUGAUCAGUAGUGGGAUCGCACCUGUGAACAGCCACUGCAUUCCAGCCGGGUCAACACAGCAAGAAAAAAAAGUUGUUUUUU
ensembl:misc_RNA Metazoa_SRP Metazoan signal recognition particle RNA